CUAAAUGCGCGUCAGAAUGUGAACUGCAGGACACAUGAACACCGACACGUUGAACGCAUAUGGCGCAUCGGCUCGCCUCAAAACGACCGAUGCACACAUCCUUGAGUGUCUACUUACGUUGCCAUCAUUGUUUGCCACACUCGUUGGCCCCGUUCGCGCGGGGUCUCCGACAUUCGACUACAACAUGCCACGUGGGGGCGCGCCGCCGGGCGCGCGCCGAGGUGGACGUUGUGCAUAACAGCGUGCUGGACUCCUCGCUGAGCCUUCAGGGCGUUGGUCCGGGUACACGGUUUGGAUUUGAGCGGGCGGCCAUCGCCGCCAUUGGCCCGCACGCGCUUGUCGCGCGUGGUCCCCUGGUCGUUAGAUGUUGCGCUCGUAGCCUUUUCCGAGGUCUGCAAUGGCGCCAGAUGCUUCCGACCAAUCGCAGGGGACCCGACGCGUCUCGUGCUGGCGCCUACUGGCAGGUAGGGGCCGCCUUUCUUAUCCAUCCGCGCACCGUGGACAGUAGUGCGCGUGCACACUCGCGCGCGUGUUACGUGUUCAAUAACGACACAUGAUGUAGACCUCAGGUGAUGUGUGGUAACCCCCGGAAUUUAAGCAUAUUAAUAAGGGGAGGAAGAGAAACCAACCGGGAUUCCCUGAGUAG
rnacentral:rRNA from 1 species